AGUGAACGCUGGCGGUAGGCCUAACACAUGCAAGUCGAACGGCAGCACAGUAAGAGCUUGCUCUUACGGGUGGCGAGUGGCGGACGGGUGAGGAAUACAUCGGAUUCUACUUUUUCGUGGGGGAUAACGUAGGGAAACUUACGCUAAUACCGCAUACGACCUACGGGUGAAAGCAGGGGAUCUUCGGACCUUGCGCGAUUGAAUGAGCCGAUGUCGGAUUAGCUAGUUGGCGGGGUAAAGGCCCACCAAGGCGACGAUCCGUAGCUGGUCUGAGAGGAUGAUCAGCCACACUGGAACUGAGACACGGUCCAGACUCCUACGGGAGGCAGCAGUGGGGAAUAUUGGACAAUGGGCGCAGGCCUGAUCCAGCCAUACCGCGUGGGUGAAGAAGGCCUUCGGGUUGUAAAGCCCUUUUGUUGGGAAAGAAAAGCAGCAGGUUAAUACCCCGCUGUUCUGACGGUACCCAAAGAAUAAGCACCGGCUAACUUCGUG
rnacentral:rRNA from 1 species